rnacentral:rRNA from 1 species
CCUACGGGAGGCAGCAGUGAGGCAUAUUGGUCAAUGGCCGGAAGGCUGAACCAGCCAUGCCGCGUGAAGGUCAGUGCCCUAUGGGCGUUAAACUUCUUUUGUGCGGGAGCAAUAAUGGUCACGUGUGGCCAGACGAGAGUACCGUACGAAUAAGCAUCGGCUAACUCCGUGCCAGCAGCCGCGGUAAUACGGGGGAUGCAAGCGUUAUCCGGAUUUAUUGGGUUUAAAGGGUGCGUAGGCUGUGAGGUAAGUCAGUGUGGAAAUGCCCCCGCGCAAAGGGGUGAAGUGCCAUUGAUACUGCCUUGCUGGAAUGCGGAGGCCGUGGGAGGAAUGUGUGGUGGAGCGGUGAAAUGCAGAGAUAGCACACAGAACACCGAUUGCGAAGGCAUCUCACGAAUCCGCGAUUGACGCUGAUGCACGAAAGCGUGGGUAUCAAACAGGAUUAGAUACCCUUGUAGUC